ensembl:lncRNA
AAUCGUUAUAUGUGUGUUGUGCAGAGUUGUUGUUGCUUAUGAAAAACAUUACAAAUCAGUCACUUUUGAAGUAUGGCAGCUCACCAGAUUUUGGACCAAGCCAAUAUUUUGGAGUUGGAUAAGUGAUCUUCUGUCUCACUGUAACACCCGCGAAGAAUGCACGGAAGGAAAUAAUUUGGUUUCACAGCUACUUCUAUGUAUGUGUGGGCCGGAUCAGAAGACUACGUUCGCUCAGGAGUCAGGAUUGCAGCAGGAGAAAGAACACAACAACAACUUCUGGAAAAGAAAACUCAACAGAAAGUAAACAACAAAAAUGCACAGAAACAAUUCUCCCAAACGUCAACAAAACUCCAGAUCCAGAAUCAGCAUUGCAAGAGAAAUAGUGAGUAA